ACUGCCCGGCCAGCCCCGGAGGGAGGCUGGGCAGGUGCUGCGGGCUCUGCCGAAAGCGCUGAAAUAAAAAACCAUCGCCACUCAGGGAGAACUGAGGCAAGUGGGGCUGAGACUCUGGCGACACCCCCGCCCCCCAGCCUCUGCCCCAGCGCCUGCCGCCCUGCCGCCCUGCCGCACCCCGCCUGCUUGGGUGGCGACCGCGGUUCCGGAACGCGAAGCAGGGCAGAGGGCUGCAGAGAGGCGUGUAGCUUUGUGCGCCAGGACCCGGUGGGGCAGGUGGCAGCCCCGGGCUGUCCGCGCCUCCCAGCAGAGCCGAGCUCGGCGCCGCCCACCGAGCCCACCUCGCGGUCCAGCCGCCGCCAGCGCCUUUCGGCUCUGGCCUGAAGCAGUACUCCCGCCUCCUGGAGCGGGAAAGUCUGGAGACUCACCAAGCUGAGGAGGAAGAAGGGAACAUCUCAACCCAAGCUGAAUUCUGAAGAACACUUGGCCCCAUCUUCCAGAAAUCCUAAAUCACAUAGAGGGAAAGUUUUGGCCAGGGCACCAAGAAUGAACCAGAAGCUGAGUCCAUUACUCCAAUUUUCACAUUAACCAGGAGACACAUUGAAAAUUCUUUUCUUGAGUGAGAGACUGAAAUUUUGGCUCAAGGGUGUUUCUGUUGGGUCUUCUCUUUAUAUGGCAUGUGAGGACUGCAUCCCACGUCACAUCUGCAGCCACUCCCAGAUUACACUGCAAGGGAGGGUAGAUUAGGAGUGGGUAGGGAGUAGAGGGGUCUGUAGACACAGCAAAAGCAGCAAGCUGGUGUGGGAAAACCCAGAAAAUAUGUCUCAGAGACAGCCAGUGGCUGCACAUACAAAAGGAAGGCACCUACCUGGAAGAGAAGGGGUUGUGAAGUUCUGCCCAGAGUCACAGCGCUGACGUCCUCAGAAGGUCUCCAGCCCUCUGCAGCAAUCUAUAGUAUGCAUCAGUAUGGUUGGAAAAGCUUCUUCUAUCAAGUUUAACAACUUUCUGGUGUAACUUCUGAGAGGGCUGAUUGCUUAUUCAUGCGGAAGCAAGACGCCCAGUUCAUUUUGCCCGUUUUUGCUACUCUUUGUUGGGUUUGGGAGGCUGUUAUGGUAGCUGCAAAUGGCUUCUCAAGUGACAUUUGCUGACAUUCAGUGAAGUACAUUUAUCAGUAUUCGCCAGCUCACCUCUACACAUGCAAUCCAUUUUGUUUUGUUCUUCAUAGCAAACUCCUUUCCGACACCCGUGCCCUGAAAAUGAUAAAUGGCAAGGUGGCAUAUUUCUGAAGCUGCACUCAAGUGUCACUGUGAAAAAUCUUUAAUGGACUAAGUGUAGCUUUUCAUGUUACAGCUUGUCAGGUACUGAGAAAUUCUAGAGUUUGUCUUUAAUCCUCAAGUCUUUGGAACCACACUUCUGCAAGCAGAGACUAAUUAUAAGCUGCACCACUCAGACCUGGGCAAGCAGAAACCAAGGAGAAAACAUUUGAUAUCAGCAAAUUCUUUAUUAUUAUUAUUAUUAUUAUUAUUAUUCUCAUUCCAUUUUUGCUCCUUCCUUUCCUACUCAAGAUAUUUGAGGCAUGAGCAAUCUGUGACUCUAAUUAAGGGGGUGACAGCCCCAACCAGGCCACCAUGCAGGCUUAUAAUCCACUCAUACACCCAGCUUUCUCCAUAAUGGCUUUAUUCUUUUCCUCCAAGGUUCAAAAUCACCAUGACUUCUCCCCCACAAAAAAAAAAAAAAAAAGAAAAAGAAAACUGACUCUGAAUCAUAAAUCCUGGCUCCCAAAUAUUGGCCAUAAUUGGGUAGGUGAGAUGUAUCUUGUAUGUCUGGGUGGAAGAGGCUCCUUUCUCCCUGGUGAUUCAUUUUCAGAACACACGGCCAUCCUUCCAAUGGCUUUGAGUUUCACGUCACCACCGGAAAGACCUGCCAGUUUCUUCCUGUUUGUGUGCCUGUCCACUGCCAUCAUGCUACUCCCAGGACUAUGGCUUCUGGGCACUCACUCACCCUUCAACAUGGCUUGUUCACUCCAGUUCUCCCUUUCCAAAUGUUCUCAAUCCCCUGGGCUGUGCGCCAAGGGGGAUUCAGCCCUUGCCCACCGGCUAUGGUCUGAAUGUUUGUGUCUUCCCCAGAUUAAUAUGUUGAAAUUUAAUCACAAAUGUGAUGGUGUAAUAAGGUGGGGACUUUGGGACUUUAUUAGGUCAUGGAGGGGGAGCCUCAUAAAAAAGGCUGCCUUGCCCCCUCCAUCGUGUAAAUCACCAUCUGUGAACCAGGAAAUGGGCCCUCACCAGACACCGAAUCUGCCGGUUCCUUGAUCUCGGACUUCCCAGUCUCCAGAACUGUGGGAAACACAUUUCUGUUGUUUAUGAGCCACCCAGUUUAAGGUAUUUUGUUAUAGCAGCCCAGAUGGACUAGGCCACCACCAUAGUCAGGGAAGAGCUGGCUGAUUUGUGCGUGUCUGCGCUGUGUCCCAAUGAAAGCACAAUAAUCAAUGAACAUUGAUUCUGCAAUCGAUGUUUGAAGGUCAAAGGAGUUGGGAAAGGGGGUCUCCUGAAGCCAAGGAAAAGCAUUGUACUCCCCAAAACUGUGCCAGCCAGGUUAACUUUUUGCGAGAUGCUACAGAUUGAGAUGCUUUAGUUUUACUUCUGGCUCUUUAAGCCCUACUCAAGCUCUAAUUUUGAUAUCUCGUUCUAGACGCCUUAGUUUGGGCCCCUCCCAGGCUCCCUUCUGUUUUUGUUCUUUUUUUCUAACAUCAUCCUUGGCUUUUCUUCUCCUUUAGGUUUGAUCUCCUGUCUCUUGGGUUGAGAAACCAUCCCCUCUGACUCCUGGCCCCCUGUGACCCCUCCAAAGCCCCCUGUACAGGUCUUUGGCCACACAGAGAUUCAACAGUCUAAUAAUCUAAAAUUGUAAAUGCCACAA
rnacentral:lncRNA from 1 species